UGUAUAUUUAAGCGUGCUUAAUACCGAAUACGUCGUAAAUAAUAUAUUAUUUUAGUUAUCACGUUGUGAAAUUAUUAAUAUAUAAAAAUGAGUGACAUACGAUAUUUUUUGGAAAAGAAACGCAAGACAGAGUCAAGUCCAUCAAGUAUAAAUGAAGGCAGUCAUGACACAGGUAAUUUAAGUACUAAUAGUUCUAUAGAUAUUAGCCAACAAAAAGAAGUGCAACAACUCUUUCAUCGGUUGACUGUUUGUGCUAAUAAAUUAGAUGCUGGACUGUAUUUAAAUUCCUUUGUUGAUGAUGAAUUAAAAUUAAUGAUUAAAAUUAUUGAAAGACCCCUGGGUUCCUCCGAAAUCAUAUGAUUUCAAAAGAGAUUUGACCAACGACUCAACGAGAGUAUUUCGCAUAAAAAGAUUUGCACUUUAUCUAAUAGUACGUGAUAAAACCUUGCAGUCGCGUAGCUACAAUCGUUGUCAGAUUGGUUCGGCAAUGACGUGAUAACGGGAGACUAGGUGUUUUUCGUGUUUGGAUGUUUUUUAUACAAAACUACACGAACAUAUAGUGGCGUAAACACCCAUUUAUAUUUAGUAUAAUAUUCCAUGAUUUACAUAUCAUAUUAAUUAUAUUAUCCUAUAUAUCAUAUAUAUCAUAUUAUCCAUGUAUUUAUCCUAUAUUCCAAUUUUUUCGUUGAGUUUUAGUAUUCAGGUGGUUGACACCGAAAUUAUUGCGGAUAAAAGAAACGAAGAAGUCGACUUAAGUCGGUAAGAAAAACGAGAGAAAAAAACUAUGAACAGUGUGAACAAUAUCGCUAAUCAACGUUGUCAUUUAAAUUCAAAUUAAUUUAUGUUUGUACAACCACAACACUCACUGUUACCAAGCAUAAGAUUAAUUUCAUCGUGAUGGCGUCCGAUUGAAAUAAUUCAGAUUCAAGAGUGAACUGUAUAAUAUUUGUAUUAUUUUUACUUUUUAGACUUUAUUAUAUUAUAUAAUUUUUAUAAUAUGAACCGAAUUUUAUUGAUAAAUUGCAUAAAUUUUGAAACAAUUAUA